CAUGACCCUGGGAGUACAGCACCCUGACCAGGAGCUCUCCCAACUCUCCUUCAAGGAUUCCAGGCUCCAGCUCUAAGGUACUAUAUGCUCUUUUAUGUGGAUCAUCUCGUUUCAUCCUCGCGGCAGCCUUAUUAGGAAUCUUCUGACAUUAGGGCAGAUUACUCAUGAUGGAAAAUGCAAAUGCCGGGCUCUGGGGAGGCCUGUCGUAAAGGAACCUGCAGAACCUGCAAAAAAUAUGGCGACUGAAACCAGAACCGUCAGUAUGCUCUGCUAUGCUGUGGUUCUCAAAGGCUCUUAUGCAAAAGCGAUUUCAGCAAAGCUGCUCUGGUGGAAGAGGGAGAGGAUGCCCGCCCUGCUUUUCCUUAAAGUGCCUGCCCCCCUCCUUGUGGGUACGGGGAACUGGGAGACCUGAGUUCCAGACUGAACUAUCCCACUGACUGUGUGUGAUCUUGAACAAGUUCCAGCCUCUCUGUUCUUAAUUCUCUCAACCAUAAGAUGAAGAGAUCCCACGGUCCCUUCCAUUCUAAUAGCUAUGAUUUUCAAAGUCUUCCUACCAGCUUUCUCUGGAGCCCCUCCAGUCUCUCUGAGCUAUGGGAGCUCCACUUGUGGCUUCCAUCUUCGGCGAAGGUUGUGCUUUUCCCUUAUCCAAUGAGGAGUCAGAAUUUUCGAGGUAACUAAAUGAUACUGUAUCUAGUGCUGUAGAUGAGAUGAUAGGUUGUGCCUGUCCAAAUUUGCAUUGUGGUUCGGGAGAAACUAGGAAAAACAAACAUUGGAAGCCACAGAUAAUGAGCUAGUGUUCAGAAUGCAAGGGGCAGGAUUUCUGUAAACAAUAAUAACAUUGAUGACAAUAAACAACCAAUGUGCAUAUAUGGGUAACAAUCAGCAUUAAUUGUAUUUAAAUCUACACCUCAGAUACUUUUUGCUAUCGUGUGAGAAUGGUGAUCCUCGAUUCUGGUUGGGGAUUCCACAUUCCAGAAGUCUCCUCAUACCCACCCCAUGUAUACACAGAAAUUCCAAACCCAAUUGAUGUGGGUAGGGCUUAGUUUUCUGUAUUUGGGGAAUUCUGAAGUCAGCCAAGGUUGAGAAUCAAUGUAUUUAGAGAGCUGAUGGGCCUGUCUGCUGCUACCUCCAGGCAGACAUUUCCAUAUGCCCAUCAAAAGCAAGUAACAAAACCGAAAUCCUUUUAUCAUUUACCUGAGUAAAUCUAGCUUUCAGCGACUGUCAUUAUUGUUUCACUAUCACCCAACCCUGGUUUGGCAUGCAAUAGACAAAGUUAAUAUUUAUACUGUUUACGAAACAGUUCCGUAAGUACUGGAACCACGGCCCGCAGAAGCCAAUUUGCUGCAUCAUGAUCAUGUUGGAACUCUCUGUUGGCCAUUCAGUGGUCUGUGUGGCAGAGAGUUCAGGGACUUCGGACUAUCAAAGCCUCAGACUUUGCAAGUGCCAGAUAAUAGCUCCUGAUCUUCAAUAAUGUGACCAUAUAUAUAAAAAAAGUUUGGGCAAGCAGGAUAAUAUUGCUCCUGCUGAAGCUUAUUGCCUGGCACCGUAACCUUGUUUACUUGUUCUCUGAGAGGACUGGCAUCCCCGGUUCCAGCCCUGUGCUGCCAGCAGCUGUCCCUAAGUGAUUAAUGCAAGCAGGCAGAUAAACCUCGGGUCAUUUCUAAAUCGGAGAACUACCUGAAAAUUAAUACACCAGCUUAACCUCGUCUGACUAGGAUUGAAGAUUUUCUCAAACUGAUGUCCGUUUGACGUCGUGGCGGGGCUGAAGCUGCCCUUACUCUAAAUCAUACCUCUGUCACGGUGAUUCAAUCACCCAUUUGCUUAACUCGGUCAACAAACUCAUAUUUCCAAGUAGUACUCCUCAAAAGAGCUUCAGAGUGGACUCGGAAAGCAUCUCCUGCUUUCUUCCCUGCCUCUAAGACCAAGAAAACCAAGCGUCAGAAAUGAAGAAUUUCAGUGAAUGGGGUCUACUAAUUGGAUCCUGUCUGUGCAGGGUUUUCAAUCAGACUCCACAGUUUGCCUUUUCUAAAACACAGAAUAUCUCCCCACUUCGAAAGAGCUCAAUAAAUGAUUUUAAAAGAAAUAAAAACAUUAUUCUUUUUGUCUCAAUAAU